rnacentral:tRNA from 1 species
CUUCAGGUGCUGGUGAUCGCAAGGUCGUGGAAGUUCGAGUCUUCUCCUGGGCA